rnacentral:misc_RNA from 1 species
GAUGAAGAACGUAUCAAAAUGCGAUAAGUAAUGUGAAUUGCAGAAUUCAGUGAAUCAUCGAAUCUUUGAACGCACAUUGCGCCCGCUGGUAUUCCGGCGGGCAUGCCUGUUCGAGCGUCAUUUCAACCCUCAAGCCCCCGGGUUUGGUGUUGGGGAUCGGCUCUGCCCUUCUGGGCGGUGCCGCCCCCGAAAUACAUUGGCGGUCUCGCUGCAGCCUCCAUUGCGUAGUAGCUAACACCUCGCAACUGGAACGCGGCGCGGCCAUGCCGUAAAACCCCAACUUCUGAAUGUUGACCUCGGAUCAGGUAGGAAUACCCGCUGAACUUAAGCAUAUCAAUAAGCGGAGGA